AUGAUUAAGAAGAAUAUAUUCUUAUAAAUAGAUUUACAAUCUAUCGCCUAAACU
rnacentral:tRNA from 1 species